ensembl:lncRNA
GCUUAAUCAAGUGCACUUUUUAAUGCAGGCUAAUUAAGUUCCUGCCAGGGGCUUUUGAAGGUGCAACCUCAGUGGUCCGGUAGAAAUGUGUUGUGCAAAAAGGUUGCACACACAUUGAGAUCGUGUCCAAAAAUUCCAUACUGUGACAAAUUAAAUGAAGUUGUCUGUUGACGUACACUAGACAAGAGAUUGUCCAACAGUAAACUAACUUCUUGUUGAAAAUUCAAUGCAUAUACAAUUUCAUUCAUGUUCAUGAGUCUGGCCAAACAGUCAACUACAACAGGCAAAUAUGUCAAGUUGUCCAAAAGUCCUGGGUGACAUCUUAUGCUAGCUAAACUGUCAUGUUAGUGCCUACCAGCUUCCGCUUUGGAACUUAAUGGAUCCAUUAAAGGGCCUAAUUCUCAUACUACGCAGUUCGAUUGAUUGGUUAAGAAAAAUGUGCAUGUUUAAAGACAGUCUAUACAGAAUUUAUUUGUUAAUUGAGCGGUUAAACCGUUCCAGGCAUUGUAGAUACCAAAUACACAGGAGCCUGUGGUACAAUAAAUGGACUAGGAGGAAUGGGCUACAGCUGAAGAGUAUUGAGGCAGUCAAAGUAAAAGGCCCAUCAAAAUCCAGUUGAAGCUAGAACAUUUUGAAUGGGCUGCGUCUCAAGACACUGCAGCCGCCCGUUGCAUCUGCGGUGGACAGGGGCCGAGCUACAGUGGUGUUGGUCUGACACCCAAAAAAUGCAGUCUCAAAAACAUCUAUAGCUUCAGAACGGUUUGGCCUACAAACUGACCAUUAUGGGAAAUUGACUCCCGAACAUAGUUACGUUUCCCUCUAUGACCCCACAAUUGUAAGACAGGUAACCCAUACAAACAGAAGUAUGGAGGUAGAAGCAUCAACAAUAACAUUUGAUUCAGCUAGAUAUGGAACAGACACUCCUAAACUGAUUUGACUCUUUGCCAUUUGUGGUAUGGGCUAUAGUAUAAGGCCAAAUGCAAGUUUGAAACCAAAUGGUCACUCAAUUCUAGUAGCUAAAUGAGCCAUGGUCUGACCAUCUAAAAACCAUUCCCUAUAUGUUAGCUUACUGAGGUUGAAGACAGUCUCACUGUAUACAAUGCAUGCCUACAUCUAAAGUAUGAACAUAUGAAGAAGGUCUGACAACUCACCCCUUGACAAAUGUAGACCCAAGCUUUUAUUUUGAACAACCAGUAGCAAAGGUAAAAGACUAGAAAACCAAAGAAUUAACUGAGCAGUCAUUUUUACUACAGACUGCACACCACCUGUUCUCAAUUAGCAAGCAAUGGACACAAGAACCACUAUUUCACAGAGACAGGGCAUUUUUUUAAAGAAGAACUGUUCAUGUACUCCCUCACGCUAGAGUAGCAAGAGCACCAGACACUUCCUGGUCGAAACAAAAGCAGAAAGAAAUGCAGUGUCAGCAACACAGAAUGUUAAGUAACCAAUGUCAAAAACAAUUCUCACCAUUAGCUUCUAGAGGAUGAAUCCAUUACAUUUUCUUGUUGAAAGAUAUGGUUAGUACAAAGGACUUCAAAUUCAGAGAGCAAAGUUCAGAGCAGGUUAAAGUGAACCAUUACCUUGCAGAAUCUUUCACUAGUGAUGGAUAUACGCUUGGUGCACCAGUACGAACAAAACUGUCCUUGGGAGCAUUUCCAAUGUGAACAAGCAUAGCCUCCCUAGGAGUGUAGCGGGUUAGGGAGAAUACAGUCCUGCCAUUCUCGUAGUGCGAUUUGGAACUGUAGGAAUAGAUUGGGAUGACACCUGUCUGUUCACCAUCUUCAGUGGUUUCGUAGUGAUUCUGCUGAGACAUUGGGGCCAGUUGCUUCUGGGGCAUUUGAGCUACAUGCCAUAAUUGCUGAGGCAUGGGGGUCAGUUGGUGCUGUGGCAUGGCAGUGUGUUGCUUCCGCUGCUGGGACAUUUGAGCUGGAUACCCCACUUGCUGGGGUAUGGUGGCCGGUUCGUUCUGCUGCGGUUCAGCAGCCGGUUGCUUCUGCGGUAUUUGAGCUGGUUGCCACUCUUGCUGAGGCACGUCGGUCAGUCGCUUCUGCGGUAGAGGCAUGGAGGUCAGUUGCUGCCGUGACAUUUGAGCUGGAUACCACACUUGCUGGGGUACGGCGGUCGGUUGCUCCUGCGGUAGAGGCGUGGAGGCCGGUUGCUUCUGCUGCUGGGGAAAUUCAGCUGGAUGCCAUACUUGCUGAUGCGUAUGCGGCAUGGCGGUCACCGCAGCGACUUGCUUCUGGACCAUUUUAGCUGGAUACCACACGUCGUGAGGCUGUUGGGGCAUAGGGGCCGGUUGCUUCUGUGCCCGAUGCCACACUUGCUGAAUCAUGGCAGCCGGCUGCUUAUGCUGCUGGGGCAUUUGAGCGGAUUGCCACAGUUGUGGUGGAUUGGCGGUCAGUUCCUUCUGCGGUAGAUGCAUAGUGAAUGGUUGCUUCUGCUCCUGGAGAAAUUGAUCUGGAUGCCACAAUUGCUGAGGUGGCUGGGGCAUGGCGGUCGGUUCAAUUUGCUGCUGAGGUUCAGCGGCCGGUUGCUUCCGCUGCUGAGGUUCAGCGGCCGGUUCCUUCUGCAGCUGGGGCUUUUGAGCUGGAUACCAUGCUUGCUGGGGCAUGGUGGCCGGUUCCUUCUGCUGCUGGGGUUCAGCAGCCGGUUCCUUCUGCUGCUGAGGUUCAGCGGCCGGUUCCUUCUGCAGCUGGGGCUUUUGAGCUGGAUACCAUGCUUGCUGGGGCAUGGUGGCCGGUUCCUUCUGCUGCUGGGGUUCAGUGGUUGGUUGGUUCUGGGGCAUUUUAGCUGGAUACCACACUUGCUGAGGUUGCUGGUGUAUGGCGGUCAGUUCCUUCUGCGGUGAAAGCAUUAGGGCUGGUUGCUUCUGCUGCUGGGGAAAUUGAGCUGGAUGCCACUCUUGAGGCAUGGUGGUCAGUUCCUUCUGCUGCCGAGUUGAUGCUGCUUGUUGCUUCUGGACCAUUUUAGCUGGAUACCACACGUCAUGAGGCUGCUGGGGAAUGGGGGCCAGUUGCCACACUUGCUGAAGCUUGGCAGCCGGUUGCUUAUGCUGCUGGGGAAUUUGAGCGGAUUGCCACAGUUGUGGUGGAAUGGAGGUCAGUUCCGUCUGCAGUUGACGCAUAGGGACGGGUUGCUCCUGGGGAAAUUUGGCUGGAUGCCACUGAGGUUCAGCGGUUGGUUGCUUCUGGGGCAUUUGAGCUGGAUACCAUGCUUGCUGGGGCAUGGCGGUCAGUUCAAUCUGCUCCUGAGGAUCAGCGGCCAGUUGCUUCUGGGGCUUAGCUGGAUACCACACUUGCUGGGGCAUGGCAGUCAGUUGCUUCAGCAGCAUUUGAGCUGGAUGCAACACUUGCUGAGGUUGCUGGGUUAUGGAGGCCGGUUCCUUCUGCUGCUGAGGUUCAGUAGCCGGUUGCUUUUGCUGCUGGGGCAAUUGAGCUGGAUGCCACACUUGCUGCUGCAUGGUGGCCGGUUGCUUCUGCUGCAUUUGAGCUGGAUACCAUGCUUUCUGGGGCAUAGCUGUUGGUCGUUUCUGCGGUAUAGGCAUUGGAGCCGGUUGCUUCUGGGGCAUGGUGGUCAGUUCGGUCUGCUGCUGAGGACCAGUAGCUGGUUGCUUUUGCUGCUGAGGAAUUUGAACUGGGUACCACACUUGCUGAGGUAGCUGGGGUAUGGAGGCCUGUUCCUUCUGAUGCUGAAGUUCAGUAACUGGUUGCUUCUGGGGUAUUUGAGCUGGAUAAAACAUUGCUUGAGGCUGCUUAGGAUAACUGGCCGGUAGCGUCUGCUGUUGGCUCAUGGCGGCCGGUUGCUUUUCCUGCUGGGGCAUUUGAGUUGGAUACCACAUUUUCUGAGGUGCCUGGGGCAUGGGGGCCAGUUGCUUUUGCAGGAUGGCUGCCAGAUGUUUCUGUUGCUCUUCGGUCAGCUGCGCUUGCAAUUGAGCUGUUGGAGAGUUGUAAUUACCAUAUCCUUUAGACCUAAGUGGGCCUGUAUAGAGCCAUGCUGCAUCAGAACCUGGUGCAGGAUACCCAUCACCUAGGUUAGAUAAAGAGAAAAGGUAAAAUGCCAG